UCUCUGUUAACCAGAGCAGUCCCCUUAUGAAUAUUUAAAUAAGGGCAAGGGUUGCGCUCGUUCACGGACUUAACCGAACACCUCAAGGCACGAGCUGACGACAACCAUGCAGCACCUGUCACCGAGCUCCUUGCGGCACUCCACCAUUUCUGGCAGAUUCUCGGGAUGUCAAAUCUUGGUAAGGUUCUUCGCUUAUCUACGAAUUAAACCACAUGCUCCACCGCUUGUGCGGGUCCCCGUCAAUUCCUUUGAGUUUUAACCUUGCGGCCGUACUCCCCAGGCGGUCAACUUCACGCGUUAGCUUCGUUACCAAGGAAUUGCUUCCCCGACAACCAGUUGACAUAGUUUAGGGCGUGGACUAC
rnacentral:misc_RNA from 1 species